CUGCCGCAGUGUUACUGACGCUCAUGCUCGAAAGCGCGGGUAUCGAACAGGAUUAGAUACCCUGGUAGUCCGCGCGGUAAACGAUGAUCACUCGCUGUACGGGUUAUGACCCGUGUGGCCAAGCGAAAGCGAUAAGUGAUCCACCUGGGGAGUACGGCGGCAACUGUGAAACUCAAAGGAAUUGACGGGGGCCCGCACAAGCGGAGGAUCAUGUGGUUUAAUUCGAUGAUGCGCGAGGAACCUUGCCCGGGCUUGAACUGCAGCGGAAGGAUACAGAGAUGUUGACGUCCUUCGGGACCGCUGUGGAGGUGCUGCAUGGUUGUCGUCAGCUCGUGCCGUGAGGUGUCGGCUUAAGUGCCAUAACGAGCGCAACCCCUUUCUUCAGUUGCCAUCAGGUAGAGCUGGGCACUCUGGAGACACUGCCACCGUAAGGUGUGAGGAAGGUGGGGAUGACGUCAAAUCAGCACGGCCCUUACGUCCGGGGCUACACACGUGUUACAAUGGGUGGUACAGAGAGUCGGUCGUCUGCAAAUGCGAUCUAAUCCUUAAAGCCAUCCUCAGUUCGGAUUGGGGUCUGCAACCCGACCCCAUGAAGCUGGAUUCGCUAGUAAUCGCGCAUCAGCCAUGGCGCGGUGAAUACGUUCCCGGGCCUGGUACACCCCGCCCGUCCAGGCAUGAGAGCCGGGAACACCCGAAGUCCGUAGUCUAACCGCAAGGAGGACGCGGCCGAAGGUGGGUUUGGUAAUUGGGGUGAAGUCGUAACAAGGUAGCCGUUCGAGAACGAGCGGCUG
rnacentral:rRNA from 1 species